rnacentral:lncRNA from 1 species
CAGUUAUUUGUUUAAAAAUGCCUUAGUAAGUUACAUAGUAUGUGUUACUGCUGUUCUCUCCUUCUUCCCUUUUUUCCCCUAGUCUCAGCACGUUUUCACCCACUCACCACCGCUCAACUCUGUUUCCACAGUCAUGAGACCCAGUCUCCUUCCACCAUUGUCACGGUGAUAGCGGAAAAGAAUGGCCUUCAGGCCAAAGAUGGUGGAUAAAUGAAGGUAGUUCACUCAGGCCAUUUACCACUGUCUGCUGAAGGGGGGGGGGUGUGUUCUCCAUAGACACCAAUGCGAUAGCUGUCUGCUUAGUCCUUGACUGCCAUUGAAACAGAACCUCUGAGGGAGUGGAACAUCUCGCUUCCUCUUCCGUCUCUGCUUGAGACUCCAGAAUGCUGAGUCACAAUGACAAGGCAGUAAUACAGCCAGGGCAGAGCCUUAGUCAUUCCAUACUGUAGUAGAACCAACAGGAGGUUAUGACAGGAGGACUGGGAAGGAGGGAGGGAAAUAAGAAUAGAGGGGGAGGGGGAAAGAGUACAGACUAAAAACGCUGUGUCACCCUUCAGAACUUCAAACGAAAGAGUUCUGUAACGAUGAAUCAUUUACAGUGUUACUAUCACUUCUGUUUAUAACUUUAACAAGAACAUUCUUAGUUUUUACGGUAAAAUUGUAAUGCUAAGAGAUGGAUAAAAAUGUACAGGGAGGGUACCUGGAGGAAAAUGGGAGAGGGUCAUGCCUUUUCAAUUUCAGUCAAGGGGAGGGUUUAGUAUUUUUUUUAAAUCUAGUCCAGGGGAGGGUCAUGUAGUUUGUAAUGAAAGAAAUGUCAAUAUUUCUCAGUGUUUUAGAAUUCGUUGCUUAUUAGGCUAUAUAUCGAUGUAUGCCUGAUUCCACCCGGUUCUCUGCUGGAAAUGCAAUAUGAAGUGUGCCUAUAGGCUAUUUAGCGUGGUCUCAAUCAAAUGAUUCAUAGCCCCCACAGCCACAACUGAAACCACUGAGCUGCCUUACUCAAGAAAGCAAAAAAGAGACCAUGUUGUAUGCGUCUUUAUUAACUCAUUUAGUUAUUUUUUUGUACAUUGUUUGCAAACUGAUAUGUGACACGUAUUAAUGCCAAAAUACCAUGCAAUACACGUGAGGCUCAAACAAAGCAAUACAUGAUUAACAAAGCUGCCCUGAUUGACAGGUCGUCAUUGGAUAAGAUCAACACAUAGGCCUAUCUCUACGUCCAUUCUUAGCCUGUAAUUUGAGCAAUUUGUGUACUAUUAAAAAAUAUUUUCAUGAAAUGUUUAUAAAGGCACAUUUUCCUCGGACCUGCAAAUACAUUGAUAGAUUCAUGCAAUGCUUUUACUAUAAAUUAGAUCUUUCCACCCUUACUCUUGUCCAUAGUGGUCUGUGAACACACAACCUUCUGGCCCGCAGCAAUGUGCGCUAUUAAAAUUCCUGCGUUGCCAUGUAAUGCUGACAGGAUGAAGAACAGUUUCUAAAACGACAUAUCUAAGGCUCUGGUGUCUCCAAGAGGUGAGGGUAAACUGUAAGGAUGUUCUCUGUAUACACUUUGUUUUAAUAAUUUUUGGGGGGUAUAUGGGAGUGUCACUUGUUUUUUCUCAAGAGUUCAGGGAAGGUUUAGGUAAAAAAUAAAUUGCUGAAGGUAGUGACAUCCAUUUUCAUUUCAGAGAUGUCCGAUUUUCUCUAUGUGUGUAAGCCUUAUUAUGAAUAACGUUUACUCCUGAAGUUGGCCCUUCUGCUUAAACAAGGUCACUUUGAAUGAGUGAGGGUUGCAGCUGACUAGCAACAGUUCAUAAGGGUUGCUGCUGACUAACAACAGUUCAUAAGGGUUUCUGCUGACUAACAACAUUUCAUAAGGGUUGCAGCUGAUGAACAACAGUUCAUAAGGGUUGCUGCUGACUAACAACAGUUCAUAAGGGUUGCUGCUGACUAACAACAGUUCAUAAGGGUUGCUGCUUACUAACAACAGUUCAUAAGGGUUGCUGCUGACUAACAACAGUUCAUAAGGGUUGCUGCUGACUAACAGUCCA